rnacentral:rRNA from 1 species
CUUUGGGAUAACCCUCGGAAACGGGGGCUAAUACCGAAUAUGACCUCGCAUCGCAUGGUGUGUGGUGGAAAGUUUUUCGGCCUGGGAUGGGCUCGCGGCCUAUCAGCUUGUUGGUGGGGUGGUGGCCUACCAAGGCGACGACGGGUAGCCGGCCUGAGAGGGCGAUCGGCCACACUGGGACUGAGACACGGCCCAGACUCCUACGGGAGGCAGCAGUGGGGAAUAUUGCACAAUGGGCGGAAGCCUGAUGCGGCGACGCCGCGUGAGGGAUGACGGCCUUUGGGUUGUAAACCUCUUUCAGCAGGGACGAAGCGUAAGUGACGGUACCUGCAGAAGAAGCGCCGGCCAACUACGUGCCAGCAGCCGCGGUAAGACGUAGGGCGCGAGCGUUGUCCGGAUUUAUUGGGCGUAAAGAGCUCGUAGGCGGCUUGUCGCGUCGACCGUGAAAACCUGGGGCUCAACCCCAGGCCUGCGGUCGAUACGGGCAGGCUAGAGUUCGGUAGGGGAGACUGGAAUUCCUGUGUAGCGGUGAAAUGCGCAGAUAUCAGGAGGAACACCGGUGGCGAAGGCGGGUCUCUGGGUCGAUACUGACGCUGAGGAGCGAAAGCGUGGGGAGCGAACAGGAUUAGAUACCCUGGUAGUCCACGCUGUAAACGUUGGGCGC